CCUGCACGAAUGGCGUAACGACUUCCCCGCUGUCUCAAAUGUGGACUCAGCGAAAUUGAACUGUCUGUCAAGAUGCAGACUUCCCGCGGUUAGACGGAAAGACCCCAUGCACCUUUACUAUAGCUUCGCACUGGCAUCAGGAUUGUGAUGUGCAGGAUAGGUGGUAGGCGCUGAAACCGGGACGCCAGUUCCGGUGGAGCCACCCUUGAGAUACCACCCUUCGCACUCUUGAUGUCUAACCGCGGCCCGUUAUCCGGGUCCGGGACCCUGCGUGGUGGGUAGUUUGACUGG
rnacentral:rRNA from 1 species